rnacentral:piRNA from 1 species
AAGGGAUAUGCCAUUUCUGAGAC